ensembl:snRNA U6 U6 spliceosomal RNA
GUGUUCGAUUUAUCAGCACAUAUGCCAAAAUUGAAAUGCUACUGAAUAAAUUAGCAUGGCCUCUGCACAAAGAUGACAUAAAACUUUGUGAAGCAUUACAUGUUUUG